CUAUCUCUACUAUUUAUUAUAUGGCUAAAUAAAAUUAAAUAUUCUUGUCAAGUCUGGCCAGAUCUCUAUUCUGCGGUAUCAGAAUUUUGCUACGAACCGGGAAGGAAAUAUUGUAAAAAAUGUAUGGAUAUAUAUCCCUUACAUAAAAUCGACAUAUACUACUGCAAUCGAAUAAAUAUGUUCCUUGCCUGUUUCAAAAGUCACUUCGGUUUUUGUGCUAAAUUAUUUGCCGACCUAUUUAAGAAGGAGAGAUAUGAUAGAGAAUACGCUAACGAAUCAGCAAUUUUUUAGUUCUUCUAGAGAGUAUUGGUUGAACAAAAUGCUCCUCCUUCGAUCCGCCUUGAGUCAAUAUGGAUCCUAUUAUUGCUUCUAAUAAUAUCGGUAUUGUUGUGACGAAUGCUGUCUCAGCUGAUGCUUAUGUAUUUCACGUAAACAUAUUCAUAAAUAAAAACUGAUUUCAAA